ACUCCUGUAGUUCCCAGACUGGCUCCUUGUUAGGUACAGAUUCCCGGGCCUGCGUUGUUAGAGCUCCGAGGCUGGGAGCCUGGAAUCUAUAUGGACAAGCACCGAAGCUGGAAGCCGAGAAGCUAAGUCCUGACUUGGGGAUACAGAAGCGAGGGUGUGUGUGGCCAGCAGAGAAGGAAACCAAGGCUGAGACAGAGUCAAAGUCACGGACAGCCACACAGGGGCAGGCCCCUGGAGCGAAGACCCUCUGCACAGGGUGGGGAGCACGACGUCGGGAAGGCCAGAACAAGCAGCCAUGAAGUCCUCACGAAUCGUGACUUAGCCCGCGUGAGAGCACAGAUUCAGAAACACGCUCACGGCAGGCUGGAACCCUGCAGAAAAUAUCCCAAGACAAACAGCCCGGGGUGGGGGAUAGGGCCCUGCGCCGGGACCGGGUAUGAAUCCCAGCUCUGUCAUCUCUAACCCACUGUGUCAUCCCAGACACGUCCCUUCCUCGCCCUGGCCUCAGUUUCCCUGCCAGUGAACUACGUGGGAGGGACUCCGACGCCCCCGGGGCCACAGAACUCACCUGAGGCUGGCUGAGGCCGGGGUGCCUGAGGCUGUUUCCCUGGGAGAUGGGGCCUGUGUCCUGCUCCUGGCCGGCACACUGGAGAACAUUUGCUCUCCUGACCAACAGACAGCCCAUCCCUCCUCCACCCUCACCCCCUCGCCAUCCCCAAAGCAAACGAAGCUGAUUGUCUUAGCCGGCCCUGCGGGUGCUGGCGGGUGGCUAGCCACAGGCCACAGGCGGAGGUGCCACCCGCCAGAGCCCCGCCAGACACACAGGGCAUUGUCCCUCAGUCAACAGCCCCUGGGCACCUUGGCCCGGCUCCUGGCCUGCCCCCACGCCCCUCGCCGCCUGCCACUGCGCCAGGCCCAGCCAGCUGGGGGCCCGAGGCUCCCAGCUGAUGACGAGCCCACCCAGCCACCCCCCAGCAGCCCCCUGACGAGCUAUAAUUGCUUCGCUCCAUCCUGUUGCUGCCAUUCUCUUGGCGAAGGCAUCUGGGGUUCCAGGCGGGCGGCAGCUGCAGGCCAGCCGCCUGGCUCGCGGGAUGGACUGGCCGCACAACCUGAGGCGAGUUCUCCCUCGGCCGUCUCCCCCAGGGUGAGAGAGAAACAGAGACUGGUCUCAGAGCCUGCAGCCAUGGCCAGCAGCUCGGGCUCCUGAACCGGGCUCAGCCCGUCCGCAGUGAGGCCCUUUCAGGCCGAAGCCAUCGGGGCAGAUCCGGGCAAACUCCGUUACCAGGGGUUUUUCCAAAGAGUCCCCGGGGUCCUGAGAUCCGGGCCGGGUGACCUUGGGCGAGUCCUUUUUGAUUCUUUUUCCCAGGGAAGGGGACUUUGAUUCUGUUCUGGCUUUCUCUGAAUGCAGAGCCAGAGUUUCAGAACCCCACGGGAGACGCUCAGAUGGGAAAGCCAACGGUUAAGGAGACAUUUUUCUGCGCCGGGAUCCAGGACCAAAAAGGAAGAAUUUAGCGACUUGAGUCUCUGUGGUGCAUUUGGGGCCGGGCACUGGUGUUGCCAGGAGGGGCUAUGCUGAAACUUGUUUCCAAGGGUCAAGCCUUGCUGGGUAGCCUGGGUAGUUCAGGCACGGGCCGUGCAGGUGGUGAGGCGAGUGACUCAGGGCAGGUAGGAGCCUGGUUAGAUUCAGGGGCCAGAUGAAACCCUCCUGAAGGUUCCUCCCUCUGGCGAGCCCUGGGCCCCACCCACGUUCUGGUCUGUCUCCCGGGCUUGCUGAGGAGUCUGGGUUCUGCCAGGCCCCCGGGGCUUCUCCUGAGCAAGCCAGAGCCUUUCCCGACGCUCCCGGUUCCGUGGGAACAGGAGGACGACGGUUGGAUACAACUGUUCCUUCUCACCCUCUCCAUCUUCCUGGGGCUGGGCCAGCCCAGGAACCCCAAAGGCAAGAGGAAGGGGCCAGGGCGGCCUGGCAC